AAAAUACAAAAUUAGCCAGAUGUGGUGGUGAGUGCCUGUAGUCCCAGCUGCUUAAGAGGCUGGGGUGGGAGGAGGCUGGGGUGGGAGGAUCGCUUGCGCCUGAGAGGUUGACGCUACAAUGAGCCAUGAGUGUACCACUGCACUCCAGUGUGGGUGACAGAGCAAGAGCUUGUCUCAAAAAAAUAAAUAAAUAAAUAAAUAAUGCUCCAAUGAUAUGGGUCGUUGCUCAGAAUAUAAGAUGAACUGAAAGAAAACAGAACACUAUACAUGUAAAUAUAUCUACAGUCAAUAAAAUCAUAUUAAUAUUUACACAUCCGCAAUGAAAACAUCUACAAGUAACAUAUCAUAAUGUGAAUAGCAGCAGGCCUUAGUGAUACGACUGUGGAUGUUCUUAUUGUUAUCUUUCCCCAUUGCUCUGUUUCUUUGACAAGCACCGUUACCAACAUCUUCUACCUAUCAACUGCGUGACUUCUGCGGAUUACUUGAUGAUUCUGGGCCUCAUAUUUCCUGAAAAUGAAAAUUCCAAGUCUCCAUAUUACGUGAUCAUUGUGAAGAUUAGAAGGGUGAAAAACACGUAGAAAAUAGAAAAUGCUCAUUAAGUGUUUGCUAUUAUAAAGGUCAAUGCUUAUAAAUAUGCAAUAAUUAAAAAUAUUAUGCUGAGGAAACGUGUUCAUAAACAACUCCUAGGCAACUAGAAACCCUUCUCAUCUCCAUGGGAAUUAAGGAACACCCAUGGCCCCCUCGCAUUUGUGCAGAGGACCCCGUGAAGACUGCUAACCUGAUUCGAGAUAUGCAGGGUGAGCAGGAUGGGGGCGCAGUGCAGAGCCUGCAGGCGACACUAAAGGACUCCCCAAACCACUUUCUUUUCUCUCCCCAAUUCAGGCCACACCCUCCAGCCCCUUACCCAAGGGGUCUAGCCACUAGGGCUGCACUUUCCUGCCUUCUCCUUGGGGACACCGCCUGGCAGACAGGAUAAUGCUGCUCGAAGCACUCGCCCUCUCCUCCUUCUGGGCUCUUGGACUUGGAGUAUCAAAAGUGGAGCAGUUCCAGCUGUCCAUUUCCACGGAAAUAAAGAAAAGUAUUGACAUACCUUGCAAGGUAUCCAGCACAAACUUUGAAACAGACGUCAUUCACUGGUACCGGCAGAAACCGAAUCAGGCUUUGGAGCACCUGGUCUACACUGCUCUAACGAAAUCCUCAGCUGGAGGAAGCCAGGGUCAGAGGAGCAACAAACUGGAGGCAAGAAAGAAUUCUCAAACUUCCACUUCAAUCCUUACCAUCAAGUCCAUAGAGAAAGAAGACACGGCCAUUUACUACUGUGCUGCCUGGGAAUACACGGUAUCAGAACUGUUGAGACAACACGCACAAGAUCCUCUCCCCGGUCUGCGCCCACCACAUCCUUCCCGACGGGGGCAACCACAGCCCGUCCCCAGCUGGGCUCCCAGACUCGGGCUCACCUUCUCUGAGGCUCUUCCGGGCUUUUUCCAGGAAGCUGUUGUGGGUUGUGCUUACACCUUCGUUCCAAGCUGAUCCCAGGAAUUGUGCUCCAGAAUCUUUAUUUGACACUAUUUCUAAUGAGUGUUGAAGACUUGUCUGGGGACUGAGAGGACACAGGUCAUGCCACCGUCCAUCAUAUCACCACCUAGACACUUCCAGUAAAUAGAAAGGUGAAGUUGAGAGAGGCAUCCUUAUAACAGACAGUCAAGACAACCCACCUGCAGUGUAACUAUCACUGGCACGGUUUACACCUAAAGAAAUGAAAGCUUAGAGAACUGGGGUUGCGUGAGCUGCCAGAUAAGUCAUGCUCUUUGAGCUGGUCUAUGACACCAUACUAAACAGUUUAAGGAUCGCAAUUCUCUAAGUGAAUGCUAGGAUAUCUGGGAUAAAUUUGGGAAGGAGUAAGUGCCCCUUUUACUGGGAGGGGUAAGGAGGAGAAUUUGCCAGCAUGAGAUUGUAGGAAUAGCGCUCCAAGUCAUCCCAGGCUCCAUUGGGACAUGUUGGAAUAACCCUUGAUCUUACCUGUAAAGGAAGAAAGAAUUGUGUGUGUGUGUGUGCGCGCGCGCGCGUGUGCGUGUAAGUUCUCUACAGUGUUCUCAAUUCUUCGCGUAUAUUAGCUCCUUUAACCCACACUACCUACAAGGUCUGGUUGGUUGUUCUCAUCAAACAUACACAACUCCUGAAAUAAGUGGAGUGUUAGUUCACACACUUAUCCAAAUCACAGAGCUGAUAUGUGGCAGGACAGCCUAGGGACCCAGGUCAUCGGGUUCCUCUUGAAUAUGACACUAAACUGCUUCUUCAUCACAGGAGUGUAAAAGAAAAGACGCAUUGUUCCUAUCCCCAUGGAGGAGACAGAACUGACCAUCGUGGAACUUUAACUGACACGAAUUACUACUGCCUGCUGAAGCAUGUGCCCAGGAUUCCAGUGAUCAGAUGUAUUCACAGAAUAAGUAAAAUGCCAAUAAACUACCAAUUGACUUUUCAAUAUAGAAACAUAAAAAAAAACGGGGUUUUCCAUUUCUAUGUUUGUGACAGGUACUGUUACUACACUGUAGGUUCAUUAUCUUCAUUAUGUGAUAGUGUAAAUUUCUUAAGUCUCUGGAAGCCAUUAAGACACUGAUAGAUGUAGAAAGUGAGACACAAAGAUUUCAGAUAACUCAGCCAAUGUUAGAUAGGGUAAGUGGUCUUAGAAGGGUGCAUAUUACCAUAGGUCAUUGAUAGUAUUAUUCAGAUGAGCUUUUGAAGGACCAAAUAUAUUUUCAAAUAUAAAGUUAAAAGAACAGAAUGUAAAACUUUAAAUGUAAGACCUAUUAAAAAUGUUUAAUCCUGCGUUAUAAUCCAAACAAAUAUAUUACUAUUAUAAACAUGUAGAGAACAUGCUUAAGAAUAAAUGCUGACUGCUCUUAUAUUCUUUGUUUUAAAUAGUUAACUAACGUUCUACUAGAGUCUUCUCAAAAUAUUUUCAUCACUUUGGAACACAUUUGGUCAGAUUGUCUUCGGGGAGGAUCAGGUACUUAUCCAAGCUUCACGUUUACCAACUCUGUGAUCCGGGAUGUCAUGUGUGCCACACCGUUUUUGUCUAUCAGAGGGAGAUAAAGUGUAAAGGAAGUAAUGCUAGAAAAUGUUUAGAACACCGUUAGCAAGCCUACAAUAGAUGUUUGAUAUAACAUUAAUUUUAAAGUGCCUGUAAAAAUGAACUUUAUUUAAAAACACCCCUCUCUGUGACACAGUCACAAGACAGUUCCGAAGUCCAAGGUGAGUCCCCACAGAUUGCCCU